GCAAGUCGAACGGCAGCACGGGUGCUUGCACCUGGUGGCGAGUGGCGAACGGGUGAGUAAUAUAUCGGAACGUGCCCUGUAGUGGGGGAUAACUAGUCGAAAGAUUAGCUAAUACCGCAUACGACCUGAGGGUGAAAGUGGGGGACCGCAAGGCCUCACGCUAUAGGAGCGGCCGAUAUCUGAUUAGCUAGUUGGUGGGGUAAAGGCCUACCAAGGCGACGAUCAGUAGCUGGUCUGAGAGGACGAUCAGCCACACUGGGACUGAGACACGGCCCAGACUCCUACGGGAGGCAGCAGUGGGGAAUUUUGGACAAUGGGGGCAACCCUGAUCCAGCAAUGCCGCGUGUGUGAAGAAGGCCUUCGGGUUGUAAAGCACUUUUGUCCGGAAAGAAAUCCUUUGGGUUAAUACCUCGGAGGGAUGACGGUACCGGAAGAAUAAGGACCGGCUAACUACGUGCCAGCAGCCGCGGUAAUACGUAGGGUCCGAGCGUUAAUCGGAAUUACUGGGCGUAAAGCGUGCGCAGGCGGUUGUGUAAGACAGAUGUGAAAUCCCCGGGCUCAACCUGGGAAUUGCAUUUGUGACUGCACAGCUAGAGUGUGUCAGAGGGGGGUAGAAUUCCACGUGUAGCAGUG
rnacentral:rRNA from 1 species